GCUGAAGAACGCAGCGAAAUGCGAUAAGUAAUGUGAAUUGCAGAAUUCAGUGAAUCAUCGAAUCUUUGAACGCACAUUGCGCCCGCCAGUAUUCUGGCGGGCAUGCCUGUUCGAGCGUCAUUACAACCCUCAGGCCCCCGGGCCUGGCGUUGGGGAUCGGCGGAGCCCCCCGUGGGCACACGCCGUCCCCCAAAUACAGUGGCGGUCCCGCCGCAGCUUCCAUCGCGUAGUAGCUAACACCUCGCGACUGGAGAGCGGCGCGGCCACGCCGUAAAACACCCAACUCUUCUGAAGUUGACCUCGAAUCAGGUAGGAAUACCCGCUGAACUUAAGCAUAUCAAUAAGCGGAGGA
rnacentral:misc_RNA from 1 species